rnacentral:lncRNA from 1 species
UUACUUAAUAACUUUACAUUCUAUCAUUUAAAAUCUUUGAUUGCCCUGCCAAUCCAGAUGAUUCGCCCUGCCAAUCCAGAUGAUUCAUACUUUGGGGUGUCACACCACCCCCCCCCCCAUACCCCCUCAAGUUUCGUCCCUGCGUACAUCUAACUUUUGUAUGCCUUGAUUAAGCCGCCCCUCCCCCUGGGUCCACAAAGUCUGAGUGCAUAUUUUUGGAAAUACAACAUUUGAAUUUUUCUUAUAUUUUACUAGAAAUUAUGCACAAUAACAAGUAAAUUUUUAGUAAAAUGUUCAAGGAAAAGGAUCUUCCAACAGCAGCAGAUGACACAGUAAAUCUUUAGUAAAAUGUUCAAGGAAAAGGAACUUCCAACAGCAGCAGAUGACACAGUAAAUCUUUAGUAAAAUGUUCAAGGAAAAGGAACUUCCAACAGCGGCAGAUAACACAAUAAAUCUUUACUCUGUCUAACGCUAGAUGAUUUUACUCAUCAAGUGGAGUCUUGCAACUUAAUGGGUUAAUGAAUCAGUUGGUUAUUACAACCAAUUUCAACUUGAUUCAUAUUUAACAUUCAUUUUAACCCAUUUACUGGAAGCACUCUACCACUGACGAGUAAUUAAUCGUAUGGCAUUAGACAGAGUAAAUACUAUAAGUAGGUACAUUUAAUUGGGCACAUUCACAUUGCCAGUUAAUGAGUUAAUAUUAACAACAUUAAAAACAGACUAGGGUGUCAAAGGCUAGGUGGAUGCUCUUUGCCUGCAACAAAGCAUAAAGUGGGAC